rnacentral:misc_RNA from 1 species
AAGUCGUAACAAGGUUUCCGUAGGUGAACCUGCGGAAGGAUCAUUAAUAAAUUCCAAUUAUUUGGAUUUUAACAAUCCAUCCACCUUUUGUGCAUUAUAAUUGUCUUUGGCGGUUUACUUGCCACGAUUAAGGCGAGACUUGAUCUCGCUCAAUUGUGGUCAGUGGCCGCCGCUGGGAACUUUUGUUCUCGUUGACAAACUUGUAUAUUAAUUCUGACUUGAAUGUUUUUAAACAAUAAAAACAACUUUUGACAACGGAUCUCUUGGCUCUC